rnacentral:rRNA from 1 species
AGGUAAGCUACUAAGAGCGAAUGGUGGAUGCCUUGACUGGUAAAGGCGAUGAAGGACGUACUAGACUGCGAUAAGCUACGGGGAGCUGUCAAGAAGCUUUGAUCCGUAGAUUUCCGAAUGGGGCAACCCAAUGUAUAGAGAUAUACAUUACCUAUAUAGGAGCGAACGAGGGGAAUUGAAACAUCUUAGUACCCUCAGGAAAAGAAAUCAAUAGAGAUUGCGUCAGUAGCGGCGAGCGAAAGCGCAAGAGGGCAAACCCAGUGCUUGCACUGGGGGUUGUAGGACUGCAAUGUGCAAGAGGUAAGUUUAGCAGAACAUUCUGGAAAGUAUAACCAUAGAGGGUGAUAGUCCCGUAUGCGAAAAACAAACCUUAGCUAGCAGUAUCCUGAGUAGGGCGGGACACGAGGAAUCCUGUCUGAAUCCGGGUCGACCACGAUCCAACCCUAAAUACUAAUACCAGAUCGAUAGUGCACAAGUACCGUGAGGGAAAGGUGAAAAGAACUGAGGUGAUCAGAGUGAAAUAGAACCUGAAACCAUUUGCUUACAAUCAUUCAGAGCCCUAUGUAGGAAUACAGGGUGAUGGACUGCCUUUUGCAUAAUGAGCCUGCGAGUUGUGGUGUCUGGCAAGGUUAAGCAAACGCGAAGCCGUAGCGAAAGCGAGUCUGAAUAGGGCGCUUAGUCAGAUGCUGCAGACCCGAAACGAAGUGAUCUAUCCAUGAGCAAGUUGAAGCUAGUGUAAGAACUAGUGGAGGACUGAACCCAUAGGCGUUGAAAAGCCCCGGGAUGACUUGUGGAUAGGGGUGAAAGGCCAAUCAAACUUCGUGAUAGCUGGUUCUCUCCGAAAUAUAUUUAGGUAUAGCGUUGUGUCGUAAUAUAAGGGGGUAGAGCACUGAAUGGGCUAGGGCAUACACCAAUGUACCAAACCCUAUCAAACUCCGAAUACCUUAUAUGUAAUCACAGCAGUCAGGCGGCGAGUGAUAAAAUCCGUCGUCAAGAGGGAAACAACCCAGACUACCAGCUAAGGUCCCUAAAUCUUACUUAAGUGGAAAACGAUGUGAAGUUACUUAAACAACCAGGAGGUUGGCUUAGAAGCAGCCAUCCUUUAAAGAAAGCGUAAUAGCUCACUGGUCUAGUGAUUUUGCGCGGAAAAUAUAACGGGGCUAAAGUAAGUACCGAAGCUGUAGACUUAGUUUACUAAGUGGUAGGAGAGCGUUCUAUUUGCGUCGAAGGUAUACCGGUAAGGAGUGCUGGAGCGAAUAGAAGUGAGCAUGCAGGCAUGAGUAGCGAUAAUUAAUGUGAGAAUCAUUAACGCCGUAAACCCAAGGUUUCCUACGCGAUGCUCGUCAUCGUAGGGUUAGUCGGGUCCUAAGUCGAGUCCGAAAGGGGUAGACGAUGGCAAAUUGGUUAAUAUUCCAAUACCAACAUUAGUGUGCGAUGGAAGGACGCUUAGGGCUAAGGGGGCUAGCGGAUGGAAGUGCUAGUCUAAGGUCGUAGGAGGUUGUACAGGCAAAUCCGUAUAACAAUACUCCGAGAACUGAAAGGCUUUUUGAAGUCUUCGGAUGGAUAGAAGAACCCCUGAUGCCGUCGAGCCAAGAAAAGUUUCUAAGUUUAGCUAAUGUUGCCCGUACCGUAAACCGACACAGGUGGGUGGGAUGAGUAUUCUAAGGCGCGUGGAAGAACUCUCUUUAAGGAACUCUGCAAAAUAGCACCGUAUCUUCGGUAUAAGGUGUGGUUAGCUUCGUACUAGGAUUUA